rnacentral:tRNA from 1 species
GCCUGGGUGACUCAGUCGGUUGAGCGUCUGACUUCAGCGCCAGUCAUGAUCUCACGGUUUGUGGGUUCGAGCCCCACACCAGGCU